GACACAAAGAAGAAAGAAGGAGCGAAAUAGCAAAACGAUAACAAAAAGUAAAUAUUUAUUGGCACCUUUCAACGUCAAAUACUGGUGGCAUUCAUAUUCCAUUAUACUGUUAACAGGGAAAACAGACCUUGACUUAAUUCAUUUUGAACGGCAGAUAGCAGAUCCUUACAAACCAGAAGCCUAAUCAGAGGGUCUGUUUGUACUCUAUCCAUCCGGCUCAAAGGGUAUGUGAUGUUGAUUCAUAUUCUGGAUCAUUAGAACUAGCUAUUCUACUCCAGGCUUUGAAGGGCAGUGAAGGCCGUUUUAACCCUCAAGCUACAAGGUCAAUGAGUCCCAACCAGCUAGUCAUCCAUAUUCUCAAUCCCCACAACAUUGAUUACUUCGUGCUGUUCUAAAUUUACCCUGGCUCUAUGAAGUGGGUGGAAAAUCAGUUUCUGGUCAUCAAGUACGCAGCAAGCAAUCAUUUCUAAAUUGGCCGAGUGGGAGAGAGUAGAGUAUGACGGCAGGGUAUCAGCUGUCUCGGAAGCAGAGAGUAGAGUAUGACGGCAGGGUAUCAGCUGUCUCGGAAGCAGAGAGUAGAGUAUGACGGCAGGGUAUCAGCUGUCUCGGAAGCAGAGAGUAGAGUAUGACGGCAGGGUAUCAGCUGUCUCGGAAGCAGAAAAAUUAAAUUAAGACCCGAUUUAGAGUGGUUUAAUAAUUAACAUGACCUUUGUCAAAAAUGAUCAGACGAAUGAAACAAACAUGGUUUUUCAGAACAGCUCGUUUCUGUGGAUCCUAAAUUGUCUUCUGAGUGCAAUUUUAAAGCCUGUGUGUGGGGUUAAAGGGACACUUUGGGAUUUUGACUUUGUCUACUACCCCAAAGUCAGAUGAACUCGUAGAUACCAUUAUUAUCUCUGUGUGAAGUUUGAAGGAAGUUGAUUAACUAGUGCUAGUGUAAAUGCUAACUAGCGUUAGCGCAAUGACUGGAAGCCUAUGGGUAUCUGCUAGCAUGCUAGUAGAUACCCAUAGACUUCCAGUCAUUGCUAGUAGAUACCCAUAGACUUCCAGUCAUUGCGCUAACGCGAGCUAGCAUUGGCUCACUAAACUACCUCUAACUUCCUUCAUACUGGAUGAAGAGACAGGAAAUUGGUAUCCACAAGUUCAAUUGACUCUGUAGAAGUCAAGGGCCUCAUUGCCAAAUCCUGAAAUAUCCCUUUAAAGUAAUGGUCCUCUAUUUUUCUCCUGGACUUUCCAAUUCUGACUGAAGUGAGUUUAAGAGACAGUUGUCUUUGUGCACAGCGAGAGCAGGCCAAUGUGACAUGUGAUGUAAUGAGGCAAGUUUUUAGCCUCUCAAAUUUAGACAUUCCUGUACCAUAUCGUUGUUAUAGCGAUCAGAAUAGGAUGUUAAGUGUCUCAUGAACAAACUGGAGUACAUGUUCACCAGCCCAUCUGUAAUGAGUUUCCUGUGAAUAUCAAAACAUGAUCGAUAUUUCUGUAUUCCAUUUGUCUCAGACACUGUGUAGCCACAUGUUUGUUGUGAAACCCUAUAUUACUUUGUAUUGCAUGUGUGUAUCGUUGUGGUAUUCAGGGAUCCAUUCUAGUACAGUUUGUGGUGUUCAGAGAUCCAUUCUAGUACAGGUUGUGGUGUUCAGAGAUCCAUUCUAGUACAGGUUGUGGUGUUCAGAGUUCCAUUCUAGUACAGGUUGUGGUGUUCAGAGAUCCAUUCUAGUACAGUUUGUGGUGUUCAGAGAUCCAUUCUAGUACAGGUUGUGGUGUUCAGAGUUCCAUUCUAGUACAGGUUGUGGUGUUCAGAGUUCCAUUCUAGUACAGGUUGUGGUGUUCAGAGAUCCAUUCUAGUACAGUUUGUGGUGUUCAGAGUUCCAUUCUAGUACAGGUUGUGGUGUUCAGAGUUCCAUUCUAGUACAGGUUGUGGUGUUCAGAGUUCCAUUCUAGUACAGGUUGUGGGGAAACUGUGCAUGGUCAAAACAAACUGUGAAAAUUAACUAAGAAAUUGAUAUUCAUUUUGUGAUAACCUGUUCCUUUAAAUGAUAGCAGUGCUCGUUUAAUUGACACCCCUGGUCCUUUAACUGAUAGCACUGUCCCUUUAAAUCAGGGGUGGGCAAACUUUUGGCUCAAGGGCCACACUGAGAUUUCAAAAUUCAACGGAGGGCCGCAUAGAUUUUUUUUAAUCAAUUUUUUUGUCCAAAAAAAUGUGUGGCCCAGAAAAAUAUUUUAUUUUAAAAUAUAUAGUUCCAUUAUAAUUUAUGUAACUAUAUAUAGGUCCAUUAUAA
rnacentral:lncRNA from 1 species